rnacentral:rRNA from 1 species
ACACAUGCAAGUCGAGGGGCAGCAUGGACUCAGCUUUGCUGGGUUUGAUGGCGACCGGCGCACGGGUGAGUAACGCGUAUCCAACCUGCCCUUUACUCCGGGAUAGUCUCCUGAAAGGGAGUUUAAUACCGGAUGUGUUUGUCUUUCCGCAUGGGAGCGACAAAUAAAGAUUAAUUGGUAAAGGAUGGGGAUGCGUCCCAUUAGCUUGUUGGCGGGGUAACGGCCCACCAAGGCGACGAUGGGUAGGGGUUCUGAGAGGAAGGUCCCCCACAUUGGAACUGAGACACGGUCCAAACUCCUACGGGAGGCAGCAGUGAGGAAUAUUGGUCAAUGGGCGAGAGCCUGAACCAGCCAAGUAGCGUGAAGGACGACGGCCCUACGGGUUGUAAACUUCUUUUAUAAGGGAAUAAAGUUCGCCACGUGUGGUGUUUUGUAUGUACCUUAUGAAUAAGCAUCGGCUAAUUCCGUGCCAGCAGCCGCGGUAAUACGGAAGAUGCGAGCGUUAUCCGGAUUUAUUGGGUUUAAAGGGAGCGUAGGCGGGCUUUUAAGUCAGCGGUCAAAUGCCACGGCUCAACCGUGGCCAGCCGUUGAAACUGCAAGCCUUGAGUCUGCACAGGGCACAUGGAAUUCGUGGUGUAGCGGUGAAAUGCUUAGAUAUCACGAAGAACUCCGAUCGCGAAGGCAUUGUGCCGGGGCAGCACUGACGCUGAGGCUCGAA